rnacentral:rRNA from 1 species
UACGUAGGUGGCGAGCGUUGUCCGGAUUUACUGGGCGUAAAGAGCGCGCAGGCGGUCGUUCAAGUCGCGUGUGAAAGCCCCCGGCUCAACUGGGGAGGGUCACGCGAUACUGAUCGACUCGAAGGCAGGAGAGGGAAGUGGAAUUCCCGGUGUAGUGGUGAAAUGCGUAGAUAUCGGGAGGAGCACCAGUGGCGAAGGCGGCGUUCUGGACUGCAACUGACACUGAGGUACGAAAGCGUGGGUAGCAAACAGG